rnacentral:rRNA from 1 species
UUUUCCUACGGGGGGCAGCAGUGGGGGAUAUUGCACAAUGGGGGAAACCCUGAUGCAGCGACGCCGCGUGGGCGAAGAAGCGCCUCGGCGCGUAAAGCCCUGUCAGCAGGGAAGAAAAUGACGGUACCUGAAGAAGAAACCCCGGCUAACUACGUGCCAGCAGCCGCGGUAAUACGUAGGAUCCGAGCGUUAUCCGGAUUCAUUGGGUUUAAAGGGUGCGUAGGUUGUUUUAUAAGUUAGCGGUGAAAUACCGAUGCUCAACAUCGGGGCUGCCGCUAAUACUGUAGGACUAGAGAUCGGAUGCA